rnacentral:lncRNA from 1 species
UUCUAUGUUGCUCCUAUUCAGAGGCAAGAUCCUUGACAAUAGGGAAUAAACUGUAUGAGGAACUAAUUACAAUGCACCAUAGGAAACCUUAAAAGAUCACUUUAUAGCCCUAGAACAUCAGGCAGUUUCUUUCUGGCCACCUCCUUCACACAUUUUGGUUUUCUUUCUUCAGGUACUUGCUGUGUUACUACCUCAUCUUUUAGGAAGACAGCAGGAAUUCCAUUCCUAAAUUGUGCUGCUUCAGGAAUGAGCAUGAAGAUGAAAUAUAAACUUCUCUGGAAAAUCAUGUUUAGAGCAUAAAGCAAAUGUCCCCUUGUCCUUUACAUCGUUGAAAGCAAACAAGCAUCUAUUGCUAGGAAUUUAAUCAGAAUGGAACCUACCAACAGAGGGAGAAGCAAUUAUUUCUGCGACCAGGCAACUCUAGCUCAUCACCUCCAACAAAGAGAAACUUCAGCUCAAACCCAAAGCUUCAGCCAGAAGACAUUCAUAGAAACCUGCUGUGGCCGACUGCUUCUGCAGAUGUUCAUUCUGGACUUCAAGGCCAUACUUCUGCUGGCACUGAUUUUGAAAUUUGGCUCUGAGACUUAAAUC